rnacentral:rRNA from 1 species
GGACGAACGCUGGCGGCGUGCCUAACACAUGCAAGUCGAACGGGGUGAAGCCCUUCGGGACUUCACUUAGUGGCGAACGGGUGAGUAACGCGUGAGGAACCUGCCUUUCAGUGGGGGCAACCGGUCACUGAAGGAUGGGCCUGCGUCUGAUUAGCUAGUUGGUGGGGUAACGGCCCACCAAGGCGACGAUCAGUAGCCGGUCUGAGAGGAUGAACGGCCACAUUGGGACUGAGACACGGCCCAGACUCCUACGGGAGGCAGCAGUGGGGAAUAUUGCGCAAUGGGGGAAACCCUGACGCAGCAACGCCGCGUGCAGGAAGAAGGUCUUCGGAUUGUAAACUGUUGUCGCAAGGGAAGAAGACAGUGACGGUACCUUGUGAGAAAGUCACGGCUAACUACGUG